ensembl:miRNA Mir3084a microRNA 3084a
AAUAGUUGAAGGUUCAUUAGCAGAGUAACUGCAUACAGUAAUUCUGCCAGUCCCCUUCAGACAAAAA